rnacentral:rRNA from 1 species
AAUAGAUACCCAGGUAGUCCAUGCCGUAAACGUUGGGCACUAGGUGUGGGGCUCAUUCCACGAGUUCCGUGCCGCAGCAAACGCAUUAAGUGCCCCGCCUGGGGAGUACGGCCGCAAGGCUAAAACUCAAAGGAAUUGACGGGGGCCCGCACAAGCGGCGGAGCAUGCGGAUUAAUUCGAUGCAACGCGAAGAACCUUACCAAGGCUUGACAUGCACGGGAAGCCACCAGAGAUGGUGGUCUCUUUGGACACUCGUGCACAGGUGGUGCAUGGUUGUCGUCAGCUCGUGUCGUGAGAUGUUGGGUUAAGUCCCGCAACGAGCGCAACCCUCGUCCCAUGUUGCCAGCGGGUUAUGCCGGGGACUCAUGGGAGACUGCCGGGGUCAACUCGGAGGAAGGUGGGGAUGACGUCAAAUCAUCAUGCCCCUUAUGUCUUGGGCUUCACGCAUGCUACAAUGGCCGGUACAAGGGCUGCGAUGCCGUAAGGUGAGCGAAUCCCAAAAGCCGGUCUCAGUUCGGAGUU